GACGAACGCUGGCGGCGUGCUUAACACAUGCAAGUCGAACGGAAAGGCCCUGCGCUUGUGGGGUGCUCGAUUGCCGAACGGGUGAGUAACACGUGUGUAACCUGCCCUUGUCUUUGGGAUAACUUCAGGAAACUGGGGCGAAUACCGGAUAUGAUCUCCUGCUGCAUGUUGGGGGUUGGAAAGUUCCGGCGGUUGUGGAUGUACUCGCGGAUUAUCAGCUUGUUGGUGGGGUAGUGGCUUACCAGGGCUGUGACGGGUACCCGGCCUGAGAGGGUGACCGGCCACAUUUGGUAUGAGAGGCGGCCGAGACUCAUACGGGAGGCAGCGGGGGAGAAUAUCGGAGCAAGGGCGGAAGAGUGAUGAAGCAACGCGGCGCGCGGGAUGACGGCAUUCGGGUUGAAAACCGCUUUCGGUUGUGACGAAGCGCGAGUGAGUGUAAUGGGUAAAGAAGAACCGGAAAACUACG
rnacentral:rRNA from 1 species